rnacentral:lncRNA from 1 species
CUCUUACUAAGAGCAUAUGCCAUAAAUAACAACCAAAUAGUUGUGAAAGAAAUCGCUUGCUACUAAAACACUUACUUUGUGGGCUCCAUCCUCACAUGAAUCUCUAGCCCUUUCAUCUUAGCAGUACCAAAUUACUAUUGAUUUGUUGGAGAUGUUUUUACUAGUGACAACCUAAAUAUUUUUUUCUAUUUUUAGUGAUGGGAUAAGUAAAAAAUUGUUGGGAUCUCUUAAGUUUCUAAUAAAUUUUCUUGGCAAUGCUAUUGUAUAACUUGAUCCUGCUUGCAGAUUGGGAUUAAAGACAUCUCAAUUUCACACGCAUGCUUGAACUUGUGUAUAAUUUAAUAGAAGCUUCAGUGUGUGUAUAGACCUAAGAUACCCAACCAUAUGGACACUUGUACUAAACCUCACCCCGUGACAACUAAAAAGUGCACAUAUAUGAUACACGCUGUCAUGGGAAGUACCAUCUGGAAUUCUUUGUCCAUGAUGAUUAAUUGCCCAGCAUUAUAGUUUUUUUUUCUAGACAGAUUUUUGUGGAAACAUGUCUCAUAUGGUUUUAAUUUUACCAGACUCGUAUUACCUAUGUGUGUUGUAUAUUCUCCUGUGGAAUAGAUUUUUUUUUCUAUUUACUAAAUAGCCUCAAGAAAUGCCAGCAUGCAUGCUCAUUAGUGGUACAAAUAUAUGCAUCUCAUAUUGACAUUCAUAUAUCCAAGCAGAUUUCAUAAAAACCCA